UCUGGGUUGUGUGAUUACAUGUUGUUCUUCGUAUGCCUGACCUGGUUACGAUCAGGAAUGGUGUGCGGGUCAAUGUAGUGGUUGCGCAGCCUUUCAGCCGUGUCUGUGUAAACAGGUGUUGAUUAGGUGGAUGGGCUUGCCUAUUUGCUUGUUGACAUGCUUCCGGAUGCCUUUGAUCGGGUGUUGGGGGCGGACGGCAUCUUUACUUUGAACAAAUUUGAGUGCUCAAAGCAGGCCAAAAUGCCUGGCAAAUUCUUGCAUGGAAUAAAGGAAUAGGCUUCGGUUCUAUUUUGUUGGUUUUCGGAUCCGAAGUAAU
rnacentral:rRNA from 1 species